rnacentral:ncRNA from 1 species
CAAGUUGUGGCGGGAGAGUUCAGGGCCGAACGAUGCAGCCCCGACGCCGUAGGAGCAAUCCCUCCCCGGGAAUCUCUCAGGCCCCCGUACCGCCUCAGCACG